UUGAACGCUGGCGGCAUGCUUUACACAUGCAAGUCGAACGGCAGCACGGGCUUCGGCCUGGUGGCGAGUGGCGAACGGGUGAGUAAUAUAUCGGAACGUACCCAGAAGUGGGGGAUAACGUAGCGAAAGUUACGCUAAUACCGCAUACGAUCUAUGGAUGAAAGCAGGGGACCGCAAGGCCUUGUGCUCCUGGAGCGGCCGAUAUCAGAUUAGCUAGUUGGUGAGGUAAAGGCUCACCAAGGCGACGAUCAGUAGCUGGUCUGAGAGGACGACCAGCCACACUGGAACUGAGACACGGUCCAGACUCCUACGGGAGGCAGCAGUGGGGAAUUUUGGACAAUGGGCGCAAGCCUGAUCCAGCAAUGCCGCGUGAGUGAAGAAGGCCUUCGGGUUGUAAAGCUCUUUUGUCAGGGAAGAAACGGUAGAGGCUAAUAUCCUUUGCUAAUGACGGUACCUGAAGAAUAAGCACCGGCUAACUACGUG
rnacentral:rRNA from 1 species